ensembl:lncRNA
GACAGCGCUUACCGCCCGGAGACAGCGCUUUACGCGCCGAGGGAGACACCACGCCGCCGCAGGGAGCACGCCGCUAGACACCGCGCCCGGGAGACAGCGCUACGCCCGCCGCAGGGAGACAGCGCUUUACGCCCGCCGCUGGGAGACACCGCUUACCGGCCGGGAGACACCGCUUCGCCGGGAGACACCGCCGCGCGGAGACAGCGCACGCAGACAGCGCCACGCCGCAGGGAGACGCCGCCCACCGCCGCUGGGAGACACCGCUUUACGCCCACCGGAUGCGCCUGCCGCAGGGUGACACCGCCGCUACCACAGGAGACACACCGGAUACGCCCUCCGCAGGGAGACAGCGGUUUACACCCACGGGAUACGGCCGCCGCAGGGAGAUACCACUUUACACCCAGCAGAAUGGAAAAAAUCUCCACCUGGAAGCACAAUAUUAAAGAAUAGAAGAGUGCUAUGUUUGCACCAUCACUACUUAAAGCAAAGCUCUACACGGUGCUGCGUUUUUCUCCAUUUGCAUUGGGUGAGUGGAUCUUUAUAAAUUCUUUAUAGCUUCUGAUCAACCAGACAUCACACAUUUCUAGAAAGUUGUCACAGCUUAAAUGAUCUAUACAGGAGGUAGGUCCAGAAACACAUCAAGGCAAUGUGCCAUCCCAACUGUGAUCAAAGGUUAAUUCCAUGGCUAUGAACAUAAACAGACCUGGAUUUGGGUUCUAUUUUAACAAAUAGGUAGGAUUGCGACUUUGGGAGAAAGGAUCUGUCUGAUCCCUUUUCAUUCAUUUCACUUCCCAAACUUGUGGGGCUUAAAGGCAAUCUCUACACCCAUGGGCUAAUAUAAAAUUAAGUCCAGAGAAAACAGCUAGCUUCAAUUUGGGGAUACGGCUACACGCUUUUAGCAGUUAGGGGCUUCCUAGAUAUUCGGAGUGGGUAUCGUUCAAGAAAAAAUUUAUAGAGGAGAAAAUAGUUUCAGACCAUAAAUUUAUAGGACCUGUUUUACAAGGAAAAAAUCAGAGUGUGGCUUAAUGCUAUUUUGGAAAUAGCAGGUUGGUAUAAUAUCACUGGCAGCAUUGUUGCUUAUGAAAGUCAUGAUUCGUAAAAUAAUAUCAUCGUGAAGCAAACAAAGGGACUUGGUAGGAACAUUAAACUAAACUAACACCAAAAACAUACGGAACAAAAAACCCCAAACUGCGUCCUAACCCAUGGAAAUUUGUUAAAAAAAUUUAAGUAAAAUUAUCGAUCAAAACUUUGUUUUAUAAAAUAAAAGCAUAGUUGUUUCAUUUCGUUUUUCUUCAGCUGGUGUAUAUGUCACUAUUUCUUCAUGUUUCAUUACUAUAGAUUUUGAGUUGCAAGAUUAAAUACAGGAUUGUUUUAUGUAUUUUAAGUCAAAGAUCAAUUGUGAUUUCAGAACCAGGACAUAAAGUCAUAAUUUGGAAUAACUUAUUUUUAAAUCCAUUAUCCAUUUAGCCAUGCAACAAAUAUUUAUGGGCUUACUCUAUGGCAGUCCUUACUUUAAUUGCCAGGGAUCCAGUAAUGAAUUAAAUAGACAAAGUCUCUGCAUUCAGUGCGAGAGGAGAGAAGCAAUGAACAAACGUAUCCUAAAUGACCCAUAGGAUAAUAAGAGCUAUAAGGAAAAUAAACCAGUUCAGAAGUACAGCUUCAGGGAAAGGGAACAUCUCUUCACUAUAAUUGUUAAAAAUAAUCUGAUAGUAAAACUUAACUAUUUUGCAGAACAUACUCUGUUUCUUUCUUGAAUCUUAGCUAUGACAAUUAGAAUAUAUGAGUCAUUUAGGAUUAGAAUCAGCUGUUGUAUUAGUCCUUUUUCACACUGCUGUAAAGAAAUACCCAAGACUGAGUAAUUUAUAAGUGAAGGAGGUUUAAUUGACUCACACUUCCCCAGGGCUGGGGAGG